rnacentral:misc_RNA from 1 species
UUUUAUUCUUAAAUCUUAACAAUGAUAUGUAUUUUUUUUUUAAUUUGAUAUGAAAUUAGUCUCAAACUAAGCUAAAUAGCAAAACAUAUCCAUAUGGCUAACCCCAAUUAGUUUGAGAUUAAAACUUAGUUAAUGUUGUUGAUAUCAAUUAUAAAAAAAAAUUCUCCUUCUUCUUGAUUGGGGUUGGAGUAGGGGAUUGGAUUGCUUUGUCUCUCAUGCUUCAAUUGGGUCUUAACUUAUGCCAAACUGUUUCAGGAUGGGAAGACUUUAUAUAAUGAGGUGG